GGGUUGUGAGGUUAAGCGACUAAGCGUACACGGUGGAUGCCCUGGCAGUCAGAGGCGAUGAAGGACGUGCUAAUCUGCGAAAAGCGUCGGUAAGGUGAUAUGAACCGUUAUAACCGGCGAUGUCCGAAUGGGGAAACCCAGUGCAAUUCGUUGCACUAUCGUUAACUGAAUACAUAGGUUAACGAGGCGAACCGGGGGAACUGAAACAUCUAAGUACCCCGAGGAAAAGAAAUCAACCGAGAUUCCCCCAGUAGCGGCGAGCGAACGGGGAGCAGCCCAGAGUCUGAAUCAGCUUGUGUGUUAGUGGAACGGUCUGGAAAGUCCGACGGUACAGGGUGAUAGUCCCGUACACCAAAAUGCACAGGUUGUGAACUCGAAGAGUAGGGCGGGACACGUGGUAUCCUGUCUGAAUAUGGGGGGACCAUCCUCCAAGGCUAAAUACUCCUGACUGACCGAUAGUGAACCAGUACCGUGAGGGAAAGGCGAAAAGAACCCCGGCGAGGGGAGUGAAAAAGAACCUGAAACCGUGUACGUACAAGCAGUGGGAGCACCUUCGGGUGUGACUGCGUACCUUUUGUAUAAUGGGUCAGCGACUUAUAUUCUGUAGCAAGGUUAACCGUAUAGGGGAGCCGCAGGGAAACCGAGUCUUAACUGGGCGUUAAGUUGCAGGGUAUAGACCCGAAACCCGGUGAUCUAGCCAUGGGCAGGUUGAAGGUUGGGUAACACUAACUGGAGGACCGAACCGACUAAUGUUGAAAAAUUAGCGGAUGACUUGUGGCUGGGGGUGAAAGGCCAAUCAAACCGGGAGAUAGCUGGUUCUCCCCGAAAGCUAUUUAGGUAGCGCCUCGUGAACUCAUCUUCGGGGGUAGAGCACUGUUUCGGCUAGGGGGUCAUCCCGACUUACCAACCCGAUGCAAACUACGAAUACCGAAGAAUGUUAUCACGGGAGACACACGGCGGGUGCUAACGUCCGUCGUGAAGAGGGAAACAACCCAGACCGCCAGCUAAGGUCCCAAAGUCAUGGUUAAGUGGGAAACGAUGUGGGAAGGCACAGACAGCCAGGAUGUUGGCUUAGAAGCAGCCAUCAUUUAAAGAAAGCGUAAUAGCUCACUGGUCGAGUCGGCCUGCGCGGAAGAUGUAACGGGGCUAAACCAUGCACCGAAGCUGCGGCAGCGACACUAUGUGUUGUUGGGUAGGGGAGCGUUCUGUAAGCCUGCGAAGGUGUGCUGUGAGGCAUGCUGGAGGU
rnacentral:rRNA from 1 species